CUAUUUGAAGAGGUCACAAGGUCACAUUCUGUUUCCUAUUUUUAUGCUCAUAAGGCUGAGGGUAUCUUAGCAUUCUGUUAUAUUUU